UACAGAGGGUGCAAGCGUUAUUCGGAAUUACUGGGCGUAAAGCGUGCGUAGACGGUUAUGUAAGUCAGAUGUGAAAGCCCAGGGCUCAACCUUGGAAUUGCAUUUGAGACUGCAUAGCUAGGGUGCGGAAGAGGGAAGCGGAAUUUCCGGUGUAGCGGUGAAAUGCGUAGAUAUCGGAAGGAACACCAGUGGCGAAAGCGGCUUCCUGGUCCAGCACCGACGUUCAGGCACGAAAGCGUGGGGAGCAAACAGG
rnacentral:rRNA from 1 species